AGAAUCAACGCUGGCGGCGUGCCUAACACAUGCAAGUCGAACGAGAAAGGGACUUCGGUCCUGAGUACAGUGGCGCACGGGUGAGUAACACGUGACUAACCUACCCUGGAGUGGGGAAUAACUGAGGGAAACCUUAGCUAAUACCGCAUAAUACCUACGGGUCAAAGGAGCAAUUCGCUUCAGGAGGGGUCGCGGCCGAUUAGCUAGUUGGCGGGGUAAUGGCCCACCAAGGCAAUGAUCGGUA
rnacentral:rRNA from 1 species